rnacentral:rRNA from 1 species
UGGGGAAUCUUGCACAAUGGGGGAAACCCUGAUGCAGCGACGCCGCGUGAGCGAUGAAGCCCUUCGGGGUGUAAAGCUCUUUCGGCAGGGAAGAUGAUGACGGUACCUGCAGAAGCAGCUGCGGCUAACUACGUGCCAGCAGCCGCGGUAAUACGUAGGCAGCGAGCGUUGUUCGGAGUUACUGGGCGUAAAGGGUGUGUAGGCGGUUGUUUAAGUUUGGUGUGAAAUCUCCCGGCUCAACUGGGAGGGUGCGCCGAAUACUGAAUGACUAGAGUGCGGGAGAGGAAAGUGGAAUUCCUGGUGUAGCGGUGAAAUGCGUAGAUAUCAGGAGGAACACCGGUGGUGUAGACGGCUUUCUGGACCGUAACUGACGCUGAGACACGAAAGCGUGGGUAGCAAACAGGAUUAGAUACCCCCGUAGUCC